UAGGGAAUCUUGGACAAUGGGGGAAACCCUGAUCCAGCCAUGCCGCGUGAGUGAAGAAGGCCUUAGGGUCGUAAAACUCUUUCGCCAGGGAAGAUAAUGACGGUACCUGGUAAAGAAACCCCGGCUAACUCUGUGCCAGCAGCCGCGGUAAUACGGAGGGGGUUAGCGUUGUUCGGAAUUACUGGGCGUAAAGCGCACGUAGGCGGGCUGAAAAGUUGGGGUGAAAUCCCGGGCUCAACCCCGGAACUGCCUUCAAAACUGACAGCCUAGAGUUCGAGAGAGGUGAGUGGAAUUCCGAGUGUAGAGGUGAAAUUCGUAGAUAUUCGGAGGAACACCAGUGGCGAAGGCGGCUCACUGGCUCGAUACUGACGCUGAGGUGCG
rnacentral:rRNA from 1 species